rnacentral:rRNA from 1 species
GGUAACCGUAACCCCCAGCUUGCUGGCUGGAUUAGUGGCGCAACGGGUGAGUAACACGUGAGUAACCUGCCCUUAACUCUGGGAUAAGCCUGGGAAACUGGGUCUAAUACCGGAUAGGAGCGCCCACCGCAUGGUGGGUGUUGGAAAGAUUUAUCGGUUUUGGAUGGACUCGCGGCCUAUCAGCUUGUUGGUGAGGUAAUGGCUCACCAAGGCGACGACGGGUAGCCGGCCUGAGAGGGUGACCGGCCACACUGGGACUGAGACACGGCCCAGACUCCUACGGGAGGCAGCAGUGGGGAAUAUUGCACAAUGGGCGCAAGCCUGAUGCAGCGACGCCGCGUGAGGGAUGACGGCCUUCGGGUUGUAAACCUCUUUCAGUAGGGAAGAAGCGAAAGUGACGGUACCUGCAGAAGAAGCACCGGCUAACUACGUGCCAACACCCGGG